UAUCUAGUUGCGUUCUUCUUGUGCCAAGCAAUUAAACGGCUCCCAUCUCCUCCACCAGAAAUGAAGAUGUCAAAUAUCACAGGUGAAGGAGGAGCUUCUCUUCAGGCAAUCCUGGUGAAGCAGAAGUUCAACCACCGGAGCUUCUGAAUCAUUUCUUUGGUGUUAAUAUUUCAUUAUACAUGAAGAGAGGCAACAACAGCAAUCUCCACAAGCCAAGGCGAAAAGAAGCUAACCAGGAUAUCCGGGUAAUGCCAAAUAGAUAUUUUUGUUAUUAAAUCAAUGUUUUUUCUCAUGGAGUUGAAAUUAUUCAUUUUCAGAUUUGUUAGAUAGAUCUUUUCCCUUGGACCAUUGAUGUUUAACUUGCUCUUUUCUUCUUGAAGAAGAAUAGUGAAUAGCUUUGUAGCUAACUAGAAAUAAAUUAUCUGUGGGUUCAGCUGUUUAAAUU